rnacentral:misc_RNA from 1 species
GAAAUGCGAUAAGUAAUGUGAAUUGCAGAAUUCAGUGAAUCAUCGAAUCUUUGAACGCACCUUGCGCUCCUUGGUAUUCCGAGGAGCAUGCCUGUUUGAGUGUCAUUAAAUUCUCAACCCCUUCAGCUUUUGCAAGUUGUAAUGGGGCUUGGAUGUUGGGGGUUUGCGGGCCUUUAUUAUAAUAGAGGUCGGCUCUCCUGAAAUGCAUUAGCGGAACCGUUUGCAGUUCUAUCAUUAGUGUGAUAAUUAUCUACACUGUGAUGAUUGCUCUCUGACUAGUUCAGCUGCUAAUCGUCCACUUGUUGGACAAUAUAUAUAAUGAACCUCUUGACCUCAAAUCAGGUAGGACUACCCGCUGAACUUAA